rnacentral:rRNA from 1 species
CUACGGGAUGCACCAGUCGAGAAUAUUCCACAAUGGACGAAAGUCUGAUGGAGCGACGCCGCGUGCGGGAUGAAGGCCCUUGGGUUGUAAACCGCUUUUCUUAGGGAAGAAUUUUUGACGGUACCUAAGGAAUAAGAGGUUGCUAACUCCGUGCCAGCAGCAGCGGUAAUACGGAGACCUCGAGCGUUAUCCGGAUUUAUUGGGCGUAAAGCGCAUGUAGGCGGAUAUAUUAGUCAGAUGUCAAAUCUUCGAGCUCAACUCGAAAACUGCAUUUGAAACGGUAUAUCUAGAGAAAGGCAGGGACCAGUGGAACAUAUGGUGUAGCAGUGAAAUGCGUUGAUAUUAUAUGGAACACCUAAGGCGAAGGCAUCUGGUUGGGCCUUUUCUGACGCUGAGAUGCGAAAGCGUGGUAGCGAAUGGGAUUAGAUACCCUUGUAGUC